GAAAUGCGAUAAGUAAUGUGAAUUGCAGAAUUCAGUGAAUCAUCGAAUCUUUGAACGCACCUUGCGCUCCUUGGUAUUCCUUGGAGCAUGCCUGUUUGAGUAUCAUGAAAUCUUCAAAGCAAAUCUUUUGUUAACUCAAUUGGUUUCUACUUUGGUAUUGGAGGUCUUUGCAGCUUCACACCUGCUCCUCUUUGUUCAUUAGCUGGAUCUCAGUGUUAUGCUUGGUUCCACUCGGCGUGAUAAGUUAUCUAUCGCUGAGGACACUGUAAAAGGUGGCCAAGGUAAAUGCAGAUGAACCGCUUCUAAUAGUCCAUUGACUUGGACAAUACUUUUAUGAUCUGAUCUCAAAUCAGGUAGGACUACCCGCUGAACUUAAGC
rnacentral:misc_RNA from 1 species